GCGGGGGUUCCGGAGCGGUCAAACGGGCAAGACUUAAGAUCUUGUGGCUUAGUGCCUUCGUAGGUUCGAGUCCUACCUCCCGCA
rnacentral:tRNA from 1 species